CACCACCACUACCAUCAUCAUCAUCGGCAAAAGCAGAAGCAGAAUCAGAAUCAGAAGCAGCAGCAGCAGCAGCAUCGCUGCCGCCGCUGUUACCACCACCACCGGCACCAAAGCUUUCCACCACCGAGACUCCACCUCGGUCAGGAAAGAGCUUUCGUAGAGAGCUCCAGCAACGGUUCUUACUCAGACGUGUUCUCGUUCGCGUAACGCGACGGUGGUGGAGCUUAACGUAGGAAAGUACACGCGUUUUCGUGUUGCGAGGAGGCUACCGAAAAAGCUCGUCUCUCUCUCUCUCUCUUUCUUUCUUUCUUUCUCUUUUUAAUAGUCUUUCCUAUUUUAAUUCUCUAUUAUAUCUAUCUCUGUUACUACUUUUCAUUUUGUCCCUAGUAUUAUUUGAUCUAUCUCUAUCUAUCUCUCUCUCUCUUGUAACCUCGUGCUCAGCUGUGUGUAUAUGAUAUAUAACAAGAAGAGAAGGGCGGUGAUCGAGGAGAGCUCCGCUAGGGGGAAGGGUGGGAAGGGUGAAGGAGCAGUAGUGGUGGUAGUGAUAGUGUACAGGACGUUUAGAUGAUAGGCGACUCCCGGUGGAGGCGCUACUAUCAACCGGUCCCGAUCGCUCGGUCACGGUGACGACGCGGCCGUUCGUUCCUCAAAAGGCGUGUCGUGUCCUCUUCCUUUUCCUCCUCCUCCUCUUCCUCCUCCUCCUCCUCCUCCUCCUUUUCCUCUUCCUUCUCUCCUCCUUUUCCUUCUUCUCCACCACCUUCUCUACUCGUAAUCAUACUCUACCUUCACCUCCUAUUCCAAUUCUUCUUUCUUUAUUCGUCCCUUUACACCUCCCAUCUUCUUAUUUGUCUUCUAACUCUGAUCAUUAUCAUUCUAUCCUGAUACACAUCGAAUAAUAAUAAUAAUAAUAAGUUUCAUCUUAAAAUCCUCCUCUUCCUUUUCCUCUUCCUUUUCCAUCUCCACCUCCUCCACCCUAUAAUUACUAUUACAAUUAUAAUUUUCCAUGAACAAUAAUACUUUAUUCCGUCACAAUGAUAUACCUUAAUAUCGACUAUUCCUUUUGUAAGAAUCACCUCGAAGGACCGAUAUUUCCUAAUCCUAGUCCUAGUCCUCGUCCUCGUCCUCGAGGAUCCCGUUGGCGGCCGCGUUAUUCUUCUUCGGUUUUAAAAGAAGGAUGAGCGAGAGAGACGGCGCGUUUCGCGACGACGACGCUCGACGGUCGAUGUCGCCGUGCUGCUGCCGUCGUUAUUCCUGUUACUGCCGUUGCUGCCGUUGCUGCUACUCUUCUUGGUAUGACACGCUGCGGAACUUUUCCUUGCCAAAGGGACCGUAAAGAGAGAGAGAGAGAACGAGUAAGACUGAGGAUGAGAUAAAGAGAAGAGUUUUAAGCGGAUAUAGAUGAGAUACAGAACGAGAGAAAAAGAGAGAGAAGAAAAAGAAGAAGAAGAAGAAGAAGAAGAAGAAGACUUUGAAUGUAUGAUGGGUAAAUGAAAAUGAAAGUAACCUAAAAGAAAGACAGAAGAAGAAGAAUAUAAGAAAGACAGGAUUGGUGAAUUCGGUAGAAGAGAAUAACAAGAGAGAGAGAGAGAGAGAGAGAGAGAGAGUGAGAGAGAUAUGAUUAAAAGAGAAAACGAAAG